rnacentral:rRNA from 1 species
AUCAGCGCCCGGGUAUUACGAGCCUCAGCUUAAAACCCAAAGGACUUGACGGUGUCCCACCCACCUAGAGGAGCCUGUUCUAUAAUCGAUUCCCCCCGCUUCACCUCACCAUUUUUAGCCAUCCAGCCUGUAUACCUCCGUCGUAAGCUUACCAUGUGAACGCCCUCAGUGAGCCAAAUGGUCGUACCACCAACACGUCAGGUCAAGGUGCAGCUCAUGAAAUGGAAAGCAAUGGGCUACAAUUUCUAAUGCAGAACAAACGGAAGACUACAUGAAACACAGUCAUAAAGGCGGAUUUAGUAGUAAAAAGAAAAUAGCGUGUUCUUUUUAACUAGGCACUGGGACGCGUACACACCGCCCGUCACCCU